rnacentral:rRNA from 1 species
UACGGAGGGUGCAAGCGUUAUCCGGAUUCACUGGGUUUAAAGGGUGCGUAGGUGGGCAGUUAAGUCAGUGGUGAAAUCUCCGGGCUUAACCCGGAAACUGCCAUUGAUACUAUCUGUCUUGAAUACCGUGGAGGUGAGCGGAAUAUGUCAUGUAGCGGUGAAAUGCUUAGAUAUGGCAUAGAACACCAAUUGCGAAGGCAGCUCACUACACGAAUAUUGACACUGAGGCACGAAAGCAUGGGGAUCAAACAGG